rnacentral:rRNA from 1 species
UUCGCCCUUAGAGUUUGAUCCUUGCUCAGGACGAACGCUGGCGGCGCGCCUAACACAUGCAAGUCGAACGAGCGAGAGAGAGCUUGCUUUCUCAAGCGAGUGGCGAACGGGUGAGUAACGCGUGAGGAACCUGCCUCAAAGAGGGGGACAACAGUUGGAAACGACUGCUAAUACCGCAUAAGCCCACGGGUCGGCAUCGACCAGAGGGAAAAGGAGCAAUCCGCUUUGAGAUGGCCUCGCGUCCGAUUAGCUAGUUGGUGAGGUAACGGCCCACCAAGGCAACGAUCGGUAGCCGGACUGAGAGGUUGAACGGCCACAUUGGGACUGAGACACGGCCCAGACUCCUACGGGAGGCAGCAGUGGGGAAUAUUGCACAAUGGGGGAAACCCUGAUGCAGCGACGCCGCGUGGAGGAAGAAGGUCUUCGGAUUGUAAACUCCUGUUGUUGAGGAAGAUAAUGACGGUACUCAACAAGGAAGUGACGGCUAACUACGUGCCAGCAGCCGCGGUAAAACGUAGGUCACAAGCGUUGUCCGGAAUUACUGGGUGUAAAGGGAGCGCAGGCGGGAAGACAAGUUGGAAGUGAAAUCCAUGGGCUCAACCCAUGAACUGCUUUCAAAACUGUUUUUCUUGAGUAGUGCAGAGGUAGGCGGAAUUCCCGGUGUAGCGGUGGAAUGCGUAGAUAUCGGGAGGAACACCAGUGGGCGAAGGCGGCCUACUGGGCACCAACUGACGCUGAGGCUCGAAAGUGUGGGUAGCAAACAGGAUUAGAUACCCUGGUAGUCCACACCGUAAACGAUGAUUACUAGGUGUUGGAGGAUUGACCCCUUCAGUGCCGCAGUUAACACAAUAAGUAAUCCACCUGGGGAGUACGACCGCAAGGUUGAAACUCAAAGGAAUUGACGGGGGCCCGCACAAGCAGUGGAGUAUGUGGUUUAAUUCGACGCAACGCGAAGAACCUUACCAAGUCUUGACAUCCCUUGACGAUGCUGGAAACAGUAUUUCUCUUCGGAGCAAGGAGACAGGUGGUGCAUGGUUGUCGUCAGCUCGUGUCGUGAGAUGUUGGGUUAAGUCCCGCAACGAGCGCAACCCUUAUGGUCAGUUACUACGCAAGAGGACUCUGGCCAGACUGCCGUUGACAAAACGGAGGAAGGUGGGGAUGACGUCAAAUCAUCAUGCCCUUUAUGACUUGGGCUACACACGUACUACAAUGGCGUUAAACAAAGAGAAGCAAGACCGCGAGGUGGAGCAAAACUCAGAAACAACGUCCCAGUUCGGACUGCAGGCUGCAACUCGCCUGCACGAAGUCGGAAUUGCUAGUAAUCGUGGAUCAGCAUGCCACGGUGAAAACGUUCCCGGGCCUUGCACACACCGCCCGUCA